rnacentral:misc_RNA from 1 species
GAUGAAGAACGCAGCGAAAUGCGAUAAGUAAUGUGAAUUGCAGAAUUCAGUGAAUCAUCGAAUCUUUGAACGCACAUUGCGCCCGCCAGUAUUCUGGCGGGCAUGCCUGUUCGAGCGUCAUUAUAACCCCUCAAGCUCAGCUUGGUGUUGGGGCCUGCCGACUGGCAGCCCUUAAAAUCAGUGGCGGCGCCAUCUGGCUCUAAGCGUAGUAAUUUCUCUCGCUAUAGAGUCCCGGUGGAUGCUUGCCAGCAACCCCCAACUUUCUAUGGUUGACCUCGGAUCAGGUAGGGAUACCCGCUGAACUUAAGCAUAUCAAUAAGCGGAGGA